ensembl:lncRNA
AAAAGCUCUUCCCAGUGUGGGACACAGUGUCCUUCUGCUUCCUGCAGAUCAAGAUGUAGAACUCUUGGCUCCUUCCCCAGCAUUAUUUUUGUCUGCAUACUGCCACAUCCUGCCAUGAUUAUAAUGAACUAAUCCUCUGAACCUUCCCACACAGCCAAUGAAGACCUGCCUGACAGCAAUCCCUGAGAGAGAAAAUGAGCCACACCUCCUCAACUGCACUGGAUCCAACUUGCUCCAUUUCAACUGACACUCCGGCCAGAGCUUCGGGUACUGACUUCAAUCAAGUUGAGGAUUUCAAUCGAGGUCUUCAAUCAAGCGAGUCCCAUUUAACAUGGACUGGAUACAAUCCAUUCAAGACUUUCACUAUACUAACAUGUUCUUCCUACAGGACCCCACUAGGCUAUCAUCGUCCCAUUUCAGCAGGAAGUAACUUGGAGGAUGCUAUUCCCCCUUUCCCCCAUUGUUGUCACUAAGGGUAAUAUACACCUAGUUAGGGAUAGCUUCCUAUUGUUUAUGGUUGGGAUUUGAAGGAGGUGUUCAGGCUUGGACACCUCUUUCAGAUGACUUUAGGGUUUAGUUAAAAUAGACAUAGUUAGGAGGUGAUGAAAGUAGAUUGUUAUAUUUUCUUAUAUUUCACCUUUAUGAUGGUUAAUUUUGGGUACUUUGCACUGUUAAGUUUUAAUCCUCUUUUAGACUAAAAGCAGAAUUGUAAGGGACACCUUAACCAUGACUGCUAGGUACUGGCUACAGGUAUGCCUGACCACGCCUGUGAGGGCAUGGUCAAGGUGACAUAGGGAAGGUUUAAGAGUGAGGGGUGUGCACGUGCUGUACUUACUGUGCCCUGACAGCUGGCUAGGUCUCUCUGUAAGUAAGGCUUUUCCCUAAUAAAUACCCGUGUAUUUUUACCUGACUCCAUAUUGGUAAUUUCCCACGUUAGCUGGUGAAGAUAUAAUCAAAUGAGAAGAUCAUGUUCCAGCCCCAGCAAGCAACAAAGCAGCUUCAGCCACAUGAUUCUGACUUUAGAGUCAAGGUUAGAAGAAAGGGAUUAUGGAAUCUCUGUGCAAGACUAAGGAAAGCUGCUGAAGCCAAACAUGUGUCAGUGAUAUCCUUGAAUAGAGGCCUAGUGAAGCUGUCAAGGUAAAACCUAGUUUUCCUUGGAGACUGCAAGAUGUUGGAGAUGCCAGAGCUGUGGGAUAUUUGCUGAUGAGAACUGCUAACAGGGAGUGGAACCAGUCCAAAAGAAAGAACUGUGUUGCAGUCAACAGAGCUGAAAAGAGUGGGACAUCUGAAGAGCACGUUAACAUCAGACAUGGAGAUGCAGAGUUUGGUGUUUGCCUAUCUGGUUUUCAGUCUUCUCCUUUAGUCCAGUAUUUUCUCACUAUCCUCUAUUUCUUCCAUUUUGGAAUGGUAAUGUACACCCUGUGCUAUUAAAUGUUAGAAGUAUGUGAUCUCUUUUUUAUUUUGAUUUUAUAGGGGAUUAAAGUUAAGUUAUUUCGUGAGCCUGAGAAGAGACUUUGAACUUUGGACUUUUAAAUAUUGUUGACACUGUGAUAGACUAUGGGGACUUUUGAAGUUCAACUAAAUACAUUUUGCAUUAUGUUAUGGUUGCCAGCAUAUGGGGACCAUGGAACAGAAUAUGGUUCUUUAAGGAGGUAUGCCCUCCCCCAGAGACUCAUGUAUUUGAGUAAUUGGCCUAUAGGGAGUGGCACUAUUAGGGGGUGUGGCUUUGUGUUGGAGUAGGUGUAACCUUUCUGGCGGAAGUGUUUCACUGCGGAGGUGGUAUUUGAGGUCUGCUAUGCUCAAGCUAUAUCCAGUGUCAUAAACCACUUCCUGUUGCCUGCAAGAUGUACAACUCUCAACUUCUCCAACACCAUGUCUACCUACACAUGGCCAUGUCCCACUGUGAUGAUAAUGGACUAAACCAAUGUAAGCUAG